rnacentral:tRNA from 1 species
AAAAUCUUAAGUUAAAAAAACUAUUAGCCUUCAAAGCUGAAAUUAUUAUAUUUUUAGAUUUUA